rnacentral:rRNA from 1 species
AGAGUUUGAUUCUGGCUCAGGAUGAACGCUAGCGGCAGGCUUAACACAUGCAAGUCGGGCGGCAGCGGGGUGGGAGCUUGCUCCCACUGCCGGCGAGCGGCGCACGGGUGAGUAACACGUAUGCAACCUGCCCCUGUCAGGGGGACAACCCGCCGAAAGGCGGGCUAAGCCCGCGUAUAUCGCCCCGGGGCAUCCCGGGGGGAGGAAAGGAGCGAUCCGGACAGGGAUGGGCAUGCGGCGCAUUAGCUGGUCGGCGGGGUAACGGCCCACCGAGGCGACGAUGCGUAGGGGUUCUGAGAGGAAGGCCCCCCACACUGGUACUGAGACACGGACCAGACUCCUACGGGAGGCAGCAGUGAGGAAUAUUGGUCAAUGGGCGGGAGCCUGAACCAGCCAAGCCGCGUGAGGGAAGAAGGUACAGCGUAUCGUAAACCUCUUUUGUCAGGGAACAAAGGCGGGGACUAGUCCCCGGAUGAGGGUACCUGAAGAAAAAGCAUCGGCUAACUCCGUGCCAGCAGCCGCGGUAAUACGGAGGGUGCGAGCGUUAUCCGGAUUUAUUGGGUUUAAAGGGUGCGCAGGCGGCCUGUUAAGUCAGCGGUAAAAGCCCGGGGCUCAACCCCGGCGAGCCGUUGAAACUGGCGGGCUGGAGUUGGAGAGAAGUACGCGGAAUGCGCGGUGUAGCGGUGAAAUGCUUAGAUAUCGCGCAGAACCCCGAUUGCGAAGGCAGCGUACCGGCUCCACACUGACGCUGAGGCACGAAAGCGUGGGUAUCGAACAGAAUUAGAUACCCUGGUAGUCCACGCAGUAAACGAUGA